rnacentral:rRNA from 1 species
GGUUCAGGAUGAACGCUGACAGAAUGCUUAACACAUGCAAGUCUACUUGAUCCUUCGGGUGAAGGUGGCGGACGGGUGAGUAACGCGUAAAGAACUUGCCUUACAGACUGGGACAACAUUUGGAAACGAAUGCUAAUACCGGAUAUUAUGAUUGGGUCGCAUGAUCUGGUUAUGAAAGCUAUAUGCGCUGUGAGAGAGCUUUGCGUCCCAUUAGUUAGUUGGUGAGGUAACGGCUCACCAAGACGAUGAUGGGUAGCCGGCCUGAGAGGGUGAACGGCCACAAGGGGACUGAGACACGGCCCUUACUCCUACGGGAGGCAGCAGUGGGGAAUAUUGGACAAUGGACCAAAAGUCUGAUCCAGCAAUUCUGUGUGCACGAUGAAGUUUUUCGGAAUGUAAAGUGCUUUCAGUUGGGAAGAAGUCAGUGACGGUACCAACAGAAGAAGCGACGGCUAAAUACGUGCCAGCCGCCGC